rnacentral:rRNA from 1 species
CCUACGGGAGUCAGCAGUGAGGAAUAUUGGUCACUGGACGAGAGUCUGAACCAGCCAAGUAGCGUGAAGGAUGACUGCCCUAUGGGUUGUAAACUUCUUUUAUAUGGGAAUAAAAUGUUCCACGUGUGUGAUUUUGUAUGUACCAUAUGAAUAAGGAUCGGCUAACUCCGUGCCAGCAGCCGCGGUAAUACGGAGGAUCCGAGCGUUAUCCGGAUUUAUUGGGUUUAAAGGGAGCGUAGGUGGAUUGUUAAGUCAGUUGUGAAAGUUUGCGGCUCAACCGUAAAAUUGCAGUUGAAACUGGCAGUCUGGAGUACAGUAGAGGUGGGCGGAAUGCGUGGUGUAGCGGUGAAAUGCUUAGAUAUCACGAAGAACUCCGAUUGCGAAGGCAGCUCACUGGACUGCAACUGACACUGAGGCUCGAAAGUGUGGGUAUCAAACAGGAUUAGAGACCCUGGUAGUC